AAGGCCUUAGCUUAAUAAAAGUAUCUGAUUUGCAAUCAGGAGAUGCGAGUUGAUCUCUCGUAGGUCUUA
ensembl:Mt_tRNA